rnacentral:rRNA from 1 species
AUUGAACGCUGGCGGCAGGCCUAACACAUGCAAGUCGAACGAGUGGCGGACGGGUGAGUAAUGUGUGGGAAACUGCCUGAUGGAGGGGGAUAUCUACUGGAAACGGUAGCUAAUACCGCAUACUCUCAGAUGCGCCCCGGUGGGAUUGGCUAGUUGGUGGGGUAACGGCUCACCAAGGCGACGAGCCCUAGCUGGUCUGAGAGGAUGACCAGCCACACUGGAACGGAGACACGGUCCAGAUGCCUACGGGAGGCAGCAGUGGGGAAUAUUGCACAAUGGGCGCAAGCCUGAUGCAGCCAUGCCGCGUGUGUGAAGAAGGCCUUCGGGUUGUAAAGCACUUUCAGCGGGGAGGCGUUACCCGCAGAAGAAGCACCGGCUAACUCCGUGCCAGCAGCCGCGGUAAUAC